AGAGGAAAAAAGAAAGCAACACC
rnacentral:piRNA from 1 species